UACGGGGGGGGCAAGCGUUGUUCGGAAUUACUGGGCGUAAAGCGCACGCAGGCGGCGCAUUAAGUCUGACGUGAAAUCUCCUGGCUUAACUGGGAGGGGUCGUUGGAGACUGAUGUGCUUGAGGCGAUGAGAGGGGUGUAGAAUUCCCGGUGUAGUGGUGGAAUGCGUAGAUAUCGGGAGGAAUACCAGUGGCGAAAGCGACACCCUGGCAUUAGCCUGACGCUCAUGUGCGAAGGCGUGGGGAGCGAACGGG
rnacentral:rRNA from 1 species